rnacentral:lncRNA from 1 species
CGGGGAGCGGUGGCCGGUCACGUCCUGCUCGCGUGGCUGCCCCAGCAUCCCACGGCACCCGUGGGCAUCGCCCUGAUGUCCCUUUGUGUCCCCCCACUGUCCCCUGGAUUUUUGCCCGAUGUCCCCUCACAGACCCCUCGGUGUCCCCUCACAGUGUCCCCGUUGUCCCCUCACAGUCUCUGGGUUUUUUUGCCCCUGUCCCCACACGGUUCCCAGUGUCCCCAUAAAAUCCCCUCGUGUUUUCGUGCCCCGCGUGUCCCCACCCAGUCCCCUCGUAUUUGUGUCCCCACGCAGUCCCCCUGUGUCCCCAAAAACUUUUGGGUGUUCCCAGACAGCUCCCGGUGUCCCCACGCUGUCCCUGCACUGUCCCCACAAAAUUCCCCCGUUUCCCCGUGCAGUGCCCCAGUGUUUUCUCACAGUCCCCCCGUGUCCCCUCACGGUCCCCCGUGUCUUUGCAACUCCCCAGUGUCACUUCACUGUCCCCAGGGUCCACUCACAGUCCCCCGUGUCCUCUCACAGGCCCGUGUCCCCACGAGUCCCCUCACGGUCCCCCCGUGUCCCCUCAGUUUCUUUUCGUGUCCCUUCACAGUCCCCGGUGUCCCCUCAGUGUCCCCCCCUCGUUUUCACAGUCCCCCCGUGUCCCUUCACGGCCCCCCCGUGUCCCCUCACAGUCCCUGGUGUCCCCUCAGUGUCCCUCCCGUGAUUUCACGGUCCUCCCGUGUCCCUUCAUGGUCCCCGAUGUCCCCUCAAAGUCCCCGGUGUCCCCCCACAGUUCCCCCCGUGUCCCCUCACGGUUCCCCCGUGUUCUUUCACCCUCCCGGGUGUCCCCUCAGUGUCCCCGCCAUGUUUCCACAUUCCCCCCGUCUCCCCUCGAAGUCCCCGAUGUCCCCUCAGUGUCGCCCCGCGUUUUCACGGUCCUCCCGUGUCCCUUCACAGUUCCCGGUGUCCCCUCACGGUCCUCCCGUGUUUUCACAGUCCCCCCGUGUUCCCCUCACGGUCCCCCUUGUUUUCACGGUCCCCUCGUGUCCCCUCACGGUCCCCCCGUGUCCUUUCACCGUCCCCGGUGUCCUCUCAGUGUCCCUCCCGUGUUUUCACAAUCCCCCCAUGUCCCUUCACGGUGCCCGUGUCCCCUCACAGUCCCUCGUGUCCCCUCACGGUCCCCCGUGUCCUUUCACAGUCCCCCGUGUCUCCUCUCAGUCCCCCAUGUCCCCUCAGUGUCCCUCCCGUGAUUUCACGGUCCCCCCGUGUCCCCCCACGGUGCCCGUGUCCCCUCACGGCCCCCGGUGUCCCCUCAGUGUCCCCGCCGUGUUUCCCCAUUCCCCCGUGUCCC